rnacentral:rRNA from 1 species
UACGUAGGUGGCGAGCGUUAUCCGGAAUACUGGGCGUAAAGCGCACGCAGGCGGUCUUUUAAGUUUGACGUGAAAGCUCCCGGCUUAACUGGGAGAGGUCGUUGAAGACUGGAAGACUUGAGGCAAUGAGAGGGGUGUAGAAUUCCCGGUGUAGUGGUGGAAUGCGUAGAUAUCGGGGGGAAUACCAGUGGCGAAAGCGGCACCCUAGCAUUAGCCUGACGCUCAUGUGCGAAAGCGUGGGGAGCGAACGGG